rnacentral:misc_RNA from 1 species
GAAAUGCGAUAAGUAAUGUGAAUUGCAGAAUUCAGUGAAUCAUCGAAUCUUUGAACGCACAUUGCGCUCGCCAGUAUUCUGGCGAGCAUGCCUGUUCGAGCGUCAUUUCAACCAUCAAGCUCUGCUUGCGUUGGGGAUCCGCGGAUGCCCGCGGUCCCUCAAAAACAGUGGCGGGCUCGCUAGUCACACCGAGCGUAGUAACUCUACAUCGCUAUGGUCGUGCGGCGGGUUCUUGCCGUAAAACCCCCAAUUUCUAAGGUUGACCUCGGAUCAGGUAGGAAUACCCGCUGAACUUAAGC